rnacentral:rRNA from 1 species
UACGAAGGGUGCAAGCGUUACUCGGAAUUACUGGGCGUAAAGCGUGCGUAGGUGGUUCGUUAAGUCUGAUGUGAAAGCCCUGGGCUCAACCUGGGAAUGGCAUUGGAUACUGGCGACCUAGAGUGCGGUAGAGGGGUGUGGAAUUCCCGGUGUAGCAGUGAAAUGCGUAGAUAUCAGGAGGAACGCCAAUGGCGAAGGCAAGUCUCUGGACAGUUCCUGACGCUCAUGCACGAAGGCCAGGGGAGCAAACGGG